AUUGAACGCUGGCGGCAUGCCUUACACAUGCAAGUCGAACGGCAGCACGGGUGCUUGCACCUGGUGGCGAGUGGCGAACGGGUGAGUAAUACAUCGGAACAUGUCCUGUAGUGGGGGAUAGCCCGGCGAAAGCCGGAUUAAUACCGCAUACGAUCUACGGAAGAAAGCGGGGGACCUUCGGGCCUCGCGCUAUAGGGUUGGCCGAUAGCUGAUUAGCUAGUUGGUGGGGUAAAGGGCUACCAAGGCGACGAUCAGUAGCUGGUCUGAGAGGACGAACAGGCACACUGGGACUGAGACACGGCCCAGACUCCUACGGGAGGCAGCAGUGGGGAAUUUUGGACAAUGGGGGGAAGCCUGAUCCAGCAAUGCCGCGUGUGUGAAGAAGGCCUUCGGGUUGUAAAGCACUUUUGUCCGGAAAGAAAUCCAUGGGUCUAAUACAGUCGGGGGAUGACGGUACCGGAAGAAUAAGCACCGGCUAACUACGUG
rnacentral:rRNA from 1 species